rnacentral:rRNA from 2 species
CAAACGACUCUCGGCAACGGAUAUCUCGGCUCACGCAUCGAUGAAGAACGUAGCAAAAUGCGAUACUUGGUGUGAAUUGCAGAAUCCCGUGAACCAUCGAGUUUUUGAACGCAAGUUGCGCCCGAAACCAUUUGGUUGAGGGCACGUCUGCCUGGGCGUCACACA